rnacentral:tRNA from 1 species
GCCGAUGUAGCUCAGCCGGCAGAGCGGCUGAUUUGUAAUCAGCAGGUCGUGGGUUCGAUUCCCGCCGUCGGCUCCA